GGACUACAAGGGUUUCUAAUCCUGUUUGCUCCCCACGCUUUCGCACCUGAGCGUCAGUAUUGGUCCAGGAAGCCGCCUUCGCCACUGAUGUUCCUUCCGAUAUCUACGCAUUUCACCGCUACACCGGAAAUUCCGCUUCCCUCUCCCAUACUCGAGCAAGGCAGUUUCGGAUGCAGUUCCCAGGUUGAGCCCGGGGAUUUCACACCCGACAUACCAAGCCGCCUACGUGCGCUUUACGCCCAGUAAUUCCGAUUAACGCUCGCACCCUCUGUAUUACCGCGGCUGCUGGCACU
rnacentral:misc_RNA from 1 species